AUCAUGAUGCAGCAAGAAUUUGAACUUGGCGAUGGAACGGAGGUAAAAUUGGUGGCGAUAGAUAAACAUCCUAGUAUGUCAUCUUGUUGUAUUCUUCUUUUGUCUCAAUUUUGGAUUUUCUUUUUUUGAUGACCUUAGAGGCAAAAAGUAUUGAUAGAUAAAUAGAUAGAUAGGAUUAAUGGUUGGUAUUUGGGUUCUGUAGAUGUUUAAUUUUAAUGUCAUAGGUUCAAGUUUUUUCUAACCUUCUAUGUAUCAUAGCAGAUCCUUUUAUAUACAGGAACACUGAAUUAUACCUAUAAAGAUAUUACCCAAGUGCAAAAUCAAUCCAGUGCCCUAAAAACCCCAAACCUUCCUUUACAUUAUUUUAUUGUCUGGUUCUUCACCAACAAACCAGUUUAUUUUAUUACCAGUCACAUGUAAUGUUUUCAUUGAAACAUAACAAACAGCAUUAGUUUUCAUUUUAUAACAUACAACAUUAGUGCAGGAAAUUAUUUACACAAGCACUUGCAAUGCAUUUUGAAAAGCAUUGUCGUACUGGCCCGUGCCUCUCUGUGGCUUCCAACCCAUCUUUGCGAUCACUAGAUUGUAAAUGGAAAUACCUGGUAUUGGAAAGAUUACCACACAGGCUUUGUAAGAGAAGUAAUACUACACUGUAAUAUGUUUAAUUUGAAACUCUGUUGUGCAUUAGAGACCAACAUGAAAUAAUGAGACACAGAUGCUCAAAUUAAAACAUUAAUUGGCAUGACAGACAUAGGAGAUACAUGUGUGUUCUAGUAUAGAGACUCUGUAGUACUGUGUCAACUGGUACAGUAGAUAGAGAAAGGUACUUUUGUGAUAAAAAAAUCAAAGUCAUACAUUUAAUACAUAAUAGAUUAUUAAAAUUUGCUGAUUGACUUUUUGUCUUGUUUUGCACAUUGUACUACAAUUUAUUAGUGAAAAACCACAAUAAAAACUGAUUUCUUAAAACAAAAGUGAUGUUUUCAUUGAUUAACACACACACAGAGAGAGAGAGAGAAGUGAUUGCAAACUUUCAGAACAUUAAAGGAUCACUAUAGGGUCAGGAACACAAACAUGUAUUCCUGACUCUAUAGUGAAAACCCACCAUUUAGGUGGCUUGCCCCCUCCACUCCCUUAGCCCCCUCAGAAUGGGUUAAAACUCACAUUAUUAUCAGCUCUCCAUGGGUCUGGCAAUGCUUCCCCCACCCCCUUGGUGACAUCAUCAAAAUUGUCGAAUUUUAGCCAAUCCACAUUGGAAAGCAUUGGAUUGGCUAAAAACAGCAAGGGGCCAGGAAGCCCCUCCAGUGGCUAUCUAAGGAGUGGCCACUAGGGCCAAUGUAAACACCGCUCUCUUAAGCUGUAGUUGUUCUGGUGACUACAGUGUCCCUUUAAGAUCAAAGUUGCCUUGUUCAGGUUUCAUGUCUAAAGAUGGUAGAUCUUAAUCACACAACUACUUUUCUUUAUCUAUAUCUAUUUUAGUGUAAACACAAUUUUUCAGGAAACAUAAUUACACAUUUCAGGACUGCACUGGAUAAAAUAAAGACAGGGGGUUGCUGUUCAGACUUCAUUAAUCUCAGUCAUGUCUUAUCCUUAUGAUUUAUAUAUGUGUCUGAGGUAUAUAAGCAAAAGGGGCACCCUAGGGCAGUCUCUAUUAAAGAAUUUUGGAAAUCCAUUUCCCAUGAUGCUCAUUUGGGCUUAAAGAGACACUAUAGACACUGAUAUCACAUUUAAGCGGUUGCAGUAUCUGAAGUACCUGAGUGUUGUCCUUCUGACCAGUAUUAAACUGUUUUAAGAGUCUCCAACAACCCUUCCCCUCUAUGCUGAUUGAACAAGCUUGAACAGCAGUGGGCAAUGGUGAUUGGCUGAGAGUGUCAGCUGACCAUUUUAUCCUAUCACAUACUCCAUUGCUAGUAUAAAUUUGUAUGGCUACAAGGAAGUGUGUAAUCUUUGUCUUAGCCAUAGCGACAGUGAGGGCUGGGAUGUAGUGAGCCAUAUAACCUCAACAAGAGUUAAACUGCUCACAAAUGGUUUAACAUUAAAUUAAGGGACAUUGCUAGGGAACUCUAAGCACUAAAACCAAAUAUAUGAGGUGAAAUGGUUAUAGUGCCAAUAGUAUCCCUUUAACACUGGAUCUGCAGAAUAGGAAGUACAAUUCAGAAACUUUUGGGCUGUUUUGGCCAUCACUGCCCUAUGAACUUCUGAUUAACAUAAUAGGAACAAAUAUAAAUAUUUUAAUCCAUGUUUUUAUAGAUUAAACCAAGUGUAUUUAAAGGGGUCACUUACGUAAGACACUAAAUCCCUGCUUUAUAUUAGUUAAUGCUGUGACGGUAGUCACUAUCACCAGGAGCCUAAGAUGAACACUUGUGUAGUCCCCAGAUUAUGCUUAUGUUUUAGUCCACCUGUGCCCAUUAUAGGGGCAGGGAAUGUUAAGGUAAUUGUUUAUUGUUAUUUGUUUUCUGUGCUUUCCUGUCCUGCUGAUGCUUUUGACCAAGUAUGUGGAUUAGGCUGCAGAGCCUGUACAGCACCAUCUGUUGGUUGUGAAGAUCUUGAAACAGCUAUACUCACUACCUGAAUAGCAAGGUUCAUUAAUUAUCAUAUUCAGGUUUAUUAGCAUAUUAUGAAUUCUGCAGGCUUGGGAGAUAUUUCUUGUUAGUUAUUGUCUUCCCUAUGCCUUCAUAAAUAUGUUAUUGUGUUUUUAUGAGUGACUGUAUGUUUCACCAUAUGAUUUGGUUAUAUAUAUUAGAUUGAAUGCGUCACCAUAAGUUAAAUGUCACGUGGAUAUGGUCAAGUCCUAACUGAAAAUAAAGCAUUAUGUGUUAGAUCCAUUGGGAACUGUUUGUCAUGUGUGGUUUGUUCAGGUGUCCCAGUAAAAGAUCUAUUGGCUGACUGCUUUGGUCCCCGAUUCCUUGGACAAGAUAAAAAGAGCUAGGCGUAAGAGCCAAAAGGGACUUUGUAAAGGCAGUAAUUAAAGAGGCCUAAUAAUAAACUUACAGUGGGGAGAUUAAAAUUUAUUUCACAGUUAAAUAUGUUAAUUUAUACUACUUGAUUAUUAAAGCUCAUUAUUCUGAUAAGGUGAGAGCAGAGAUUGGCUAAUAAAACAAUAUGGUACUCCGCAGAAUAAGAGAUGGAGCAAAUCCUUCUCAGUAUUCCUUCCAUGAUCCCUUCCUUCAAGUGUUUCCUAUGCACUCUUUCUAAGUUACUCACUAGAACUGUUAUUUGUGGUAACCCAGCAGUGUAAAAGCCAGCAUCUCUGUUUUUAUCUAACCAUAAACAAUUAGACUUGGGUCUGGUGUACUUGGUAAUUGAAAUAUUAAGAGGAAAUGAGCUGAAACUCACAGUAACUGAAUUAGUGUUUUCUGCCUCCAGCUUUUUUAAUUUCAAGUCAGGGUUAGUUUAAAAAUGUAUUACUUUUUCCUUAUUUAAUCUUUAUUUUUUCAGUUUUCCAUAAAACUCUAAACAUAUCACUGAAACUAAUCAUUUCUCCUUAAAAAAAAGUCUGCAUUUUCUGGUUUUGUAUAAGUGUGACUUCAGAGAUGUAUUAUGUUCCAUAAAUACUUGGAAAUAUGUUGUAAGUUUAAGUAUUUAUAGAUUCUUUUUACUGCUUUCUGUUUAUAGAUUUUGCUAAUGGAACUGAGAGCUUGUAGUUCCCUGUCUCUCUUUUACCAGCAGAGACUGGGUCAAAUACCUUUAAUUAGACUGCCCUUUUGUACUCCAAGUUGGAUUGAAGAAUGAUUCACAACUACCCUAAGAGAGAAGUGAUGUGUUAAAAAGCCAAGGGUCUUGCGCUUUGGUAAAAGCUGUAAACAUAUCGAGGAUAGUUAGCCAGUGUUCUACUUAAAGGGACACUCCAGGCACCCAAACAACUUCUGCCCACUGGAGUGGUCUGGGUGUCAACUCCCAUCAUGCUUAACCCUGCAAGUGUAAGGAUUGCAGUUUUUAUAAACUUCAAUAAUUACCUUGCAGGGUUAAGUCCCCUGUAGUGACUUUCUAUCAGACAGCCACUAGAGGGACUUCUGUUUUCUUAAAACACGAAAAAGUGUUUUAAACUACGCUGGACGUACUCACAUUAUGCAUAAUGCUUUCCUAGAGGUCUAAUGCGCGCACACGGCAAUUGCCGCGCAUGCGCAUUAGGUCUCCCACGCCGCCGUCCGCGUGGGCGGAGCCUGACCCAGCGCAGAGGGACAUCGGCACUGGAUUCAGUUAAGUCACCGAAGUAACAUGAGAUGGGGGGUGGGAGGGACCUGCAGUGCUAGGAAAACGGAUAUGUUUUCCUGGCACUGGAGAGUCCCUUUAAGGCCAGAAUAGCCAAUCUGGAAGCAUAGCUGAAUAAGAGAAUGAUUCCAUUUUAUCUGGCCUUACAUUUGAAAUUCACUUCUCACUUUAGUGAAUGAUCCUGUAAAUCUUACACUACUCUGCGAUAUAACAUAACAGUAUCAUAACUCUAACAUUAGUCUCUAAAUUAUAACUAACAUUAGUUCAAUAAAGCAAAUCGCAGGUAACCUUCCUAUUCAUUUCUGUUAUCUUUCCAUCCAUUUAAAAGUAAUGUAUAAAAAAAAGUCAAUAUUUCCACGUUAGUAAUUUUUUUCUAAAUGUGUGUGAAAGUAUGCUUGCAUUUGUAUCUGAAAAACUACUUUGAUAUUUAUUAUAUCGUUAGUGAUCUAGAUUAUGCAAAGGAGUUACUGAGACACAAAUACAUUACUGUAAAGCCUACUAUCACAAUAAAAAUGAAGCAAUACAUGGAUAGAUCUAAUAUUUUUAAUUUUGAAGUUUAACAGGUAUUGUAUGUAAAUUCAAUAAUUUGCCCUAAAAGCUAUAAAAAAAAAGCUAAUGACAUCAAUAUUCUUUUAUAUUUUUAGACCAUGAUUUUCAUUGUGGCGAACCUCAAUGCAGUUGGAGCCCUCUUUUGUGUGGAGACCUGAGGAAGCCAUAUCUCAAUGCCAGCUGGAACGCAAAUUUCUCAUGCUUUUCAAGAUUUCUCCCUUAAUGGAGCUCCGACCUGAUCCUUUUUUUGCAAAAGUACAUAUCCACUUACCUAAUCUGCUAUGAAUAUCCAUCCAAGACACAAACUAAUGAAAUUACAGCGAAUAAUCCAUUCAAAUUUAUUAAGAUUUACUAUUUUCCAUGGAAGGGUUUCAGUGACUUCAGAAAGCCACAGGGGCAGACAUACACCCCAUGUAACAUUUGUAGCACAUUUAGCCAUUCAUACAAACAGGCAUAACUAUGAAAAUAAUGGAAGAUAGAUCUUUUCAAAUGUUGGAAUUUUUUCAUCAACCUUUAUUUGCCCUUAAUGAUGAUAAAGAUAUUUAAAGAACCAUACACUAUCAUAUUUAUAUGCUACACAGCCACAUAAGCAGCAAACUGUGAUGCUUUGUAUCAUGACCCCUUUCUGUCAUGGCCAGCAUUAAGUUCUUCAGCAAGUUAAGCUACAAUAGUUUUUCAGAGUGAAUGGACCAGACGGGAUAGCCAUCGCUCCCCAUGUGCAUUAAUGGGUUUUGUACGCCCAUGACCUUGAUGCCGAUUCACCUUCCUUGCACCACUUUUGGUAAGCACUAACCACUACAUACCAGCCACAGGACACAAGACUUGCCAUUUUGGAG